GUAAAGUCGACUUCGAACAGACCGAAGCAGUCGCAAUGUAAAGACGAGUCCUACCAAGAAGGGGAUGAUGACAUACAGACACACCACUGUCUCCCACUGGAAGCUCUGGAAAGUGGACCAUGAACCAAAGCCAUUGGGCAGCAGCAAUACCAGCAUCUCACUCAGCUGCCCAAGAAUCAGCUCAAAGCCAAGCUCCACAGAGGAUGGCAGCCCCUCCAUGGCACUGAUCCAGCACAGGGCUCUGCCCAGUUACCGUGGAUCCACCAGGCACAACAAACCCCAAGAUUCCGCCUGGAACCCAGCCAGCAACUGCCAUCCUGGAUUGGAGUCAGCUUGUGCCAGAAGUCUGACCCAAAAUGUGAAGACAGUUGACCACCGAUGUUGCAUCAUUUCCAAAUUCCAGAAGAUACUGAUGGGCUUCAUCCACACAGCGAAAGAGGUGCUGAAGGAAUCUAGAGGCAAAUCACUUCUCAAUAGAGGGUGUGUCCAAUUCGAGGGCCUUGAAUCCUCUGGAUACAGCACAGCCAUUGAUCUUCAGCACUUGAGCAUGUCCUAUACUUUUCCCCAAUCCUUGGCUUUCUCUUUGGCUGUAAGUGUAUCAUAGGGUACCAGCAGGGGAUGGUUUCCUCCUUGUCCAGUUCCGGUAUUGUCCACAUCAGCCAAACACAAACAGCCUUGGUCAAAUUCUUCUUUUUCUCCUAAAACAGCAGACCACCAAUCAUGGGCUUUAAUUAAGGCAUUUUCUUUCACUAAGGACCCAGGUGCUUGAGCUGCUGGAGCUGUUGCGUGUCCUGCCGCUGCUGCGUGUCCUGCUGCUGCAGUUUCUCAAGAAUAGUGGAUUAAAAGAAGAAUUACUAGAUGGAUAGAUAGGUUAGAAAAGCAAGAAGUAUCCUAAAAUGUUUAUUGCAAAGUCUAGGUAGGACGUAUAGAGGUGUUCAGUGCAAAAAGGUUUCCACUUUUUUACAUAUUCAAAAAUAUUUAUCAUAAAAAUACAGAUAAAUGGAACACAUGUAUAUAUCAUGUAAAUUACCCUACAUGUGUAAAAAAUUUAUAGCCCAAUAACUUUUUUUGGCUAUGACCAAAAAAAAAAAAGCGGUCACAUUUCUAAUCUGCAAUUUAAAAACUCAUGUAGUGCCCUAACCUGAAUUGACGUAUCAAAUCAAAUCAAUCUUUGUACAAUUUUACAAUAAAAAUAUCAACAAGUGGCUUUGAUUACA
rnacentral:lncRNA from 1 species